rnacentral:rRNA from 1 species
UACGUAGGGGGCAAGCGUUGUCCGGAUUUAUUGGGCGUAAAGAGCUCGUAGGCGGUUUGGUAAGUCUGGUGUGAAAUCUCCACGCUCAACGUGGAGGGGCCACCCGAUACUGCCAUGACUGGAGUCCGGUAGAGGAGUGUGGAAUUCCCGGUGUAGCGGUGAAAUGCGCAGAUAUCAGGAAGAACACCUAUGGCGAAGGCAGCUCUCUGGGACGGUACUGACGCUGAGACGCGAAAGCGUGGGGAGCGAACAGG